GACGGAGGAUGCAAGCGUUAUCCGGAAUGAUUGGGCGUAAAAGCGUCCGCAGGUGGCAGUUCAAGUCUGCUGUCAAAAGACCGGGGCUUAACUUCGGAAAGGCAGUGGAAACUGAACAGCUAGAGUAUGGUAGGGGCAGAGGGAAUUCCUGGUGUAGCGGUGAAAUGCGUAGAGAUCAGGAAGAACAUCGGUGGCGAAGGCGCUCUGCUGGACCAUAGCUGACACUCAGGGACGAAAGCUAGGGGAGCGAAUGGG
rnacentral:rRNA from 1 species